rnacentral:rRNA from 1 species
ACUAAAAACCCAGCCUAAUGAUUUCUCAACACAACUAAAUCAUAAACCAAAAUAUUUUAACAAUUUAGUAAAGAAGAUUAAAAAAUUUAUUAGCGCCAUAAAUAUGUACCGCAAGGGAGAAAAGAUGAAAUAACAAUGAAAUACUUCAAAAGCACAAAAAAGUAGAGUUUAACCCUCGUACCUUUUGCAUCAUGGUUUAACUAGUAAAAUCAGGCAAAAAGAAUUACAGUCUGACAUCCCGAAACUAAGUGAGCUACUUUAGGACAGCUUAAUGAGCCAACCCUUCUCUGUUGCAAAAGAGUGGGAAGAUCUUAAAGUAGGGGUAAAAUACCUAACGAACUUAGCGAUAGCUGGUUAUUCAGGAAAAGAAUUUUAGUUCAACCUAAAGCUAUAAAAAUACUUAAUAAAUAUAAACUUAGCUUUAGAGCAAAUCAGAUAGGUCACAGCCUACCUGAAACAGGAUACAGCCUCCACCUAUGGGUAAUACAGUGUUGAAUAACUAAGUAGGCCUGAAAGCAGCCACCUUUAAAACAGCGUCAAAGCUUAGCUAUUAUACUUAACAAAUUUCUAAAAUAAAUUAAAACCCUACCUUAAUACUGAAUAAUUCCAUAUAUAUAUGGAAGCUAUUAUGUUAAAACAAGUAACAUGAAGAUACCUUCUCUUAAAUGUAAACUUAAGUCAGACCGGAUAAAACACUGACAAUUAACAGCUUAAACUAAAGUGAUAACCCAACAAGAAAAUCUCACUAUUAACUCAUCUGUUAACCUAACACAAGAACAUUUUAAGAAAGACUUAAAGAGAAAGAAGGAACUCGGCAAAAAUUGAUUCCGCCUGUUUACCAAAAACAUCGCCUCCUGAAUAAAUCAUAAGAGGUCCAGCCUGCCCAGUGACUCUGUUAACGGCCGCGGUAUCCUAACCGUGCGAAGGUAGCGUAAUCACCUGUUUUUUAAUUAAAGACCUGUAUGAAAGGCAUCACGAGAAUCACACUGUCUCCUUUCUUUAGUCAGUGAAACUAAUCUCCCCGUGAAAAAGCGAGGAUGUCUCUACAAGACGAGAAGACCCUUUGGAGCUUAAGACAAAAUAAACACUUGCCAGCCUACACCAACCGUAUACCCCCACAACAUCAUGUUUAUAAGUCUUAGGUUGGGGCAACCGCGGAGUAAAAACAAACCUCCAAGCUGAACGGAUACUUCCUAAACAAAAAGCAACAACUUUAUGUAUCAUAAACUGACAUAAUUUGACCCAAUAUACUUUGAUUAACGAACCAAGUUACCCUAGGGAUAACAGCGCAAUCCACUUCAAGAGUUCAUAUCGAAAAGUGGGCUUACGACCUCGAUGUUGGAUCAAGGUACCCUGGUGGUGCAGCCGCUACCAAAGGUUCGUUUGUUCAACGAUUAAAACCUCACGCGAUCUGAGUUCAGACCGGAGUAAUCCAGGUCAGUUUCUAUCUGUAAAGAGCUCUUUCCAGUACGAAAGGACAAAAACAGCAUGGCCUAUAUAUCCUACAAGCCGUACCUAAUAACUUCUGACCACUCUCAAAAAAUUAUUAUCCUUCCAUUUUAUACUCAAGAUAAGAGAA